rnacentral:rRNA from 1 species
GGGUUGUGAGGUUAAGCGACUAAGCGUACACGGUGGAUGCCCUGGCAGUCAGAGGCGAUGAAGGACGUGCUAAUCUGCGAUAAGCGUCGGUAAGGUGAUAUGAACCGUUAUAACCGGCGAUUUCCGAAUGGGGAAACCCAGUGUGUUUCGACACACUAUCAUUAACUGAAUCCAUAGGUUAAUGAGGCGAACCGGGGGAACUGAAACAUCUAAGUACCCCGAGGAAAAGAAAUCAACCGAGAUUCCCUCAGUAGCGGCGAGCGAACGGGGAGCAGCCCAGAGCCUGAAUCAGUGUGUGUGUUAGUGGAAGCGUCUGGAAAGGCGCGCGAUACAGGGUGACAGCCCCGUACACAAAAAUGCACAUGCUGUGAGCUCGAUGAGUAGGGCGGGACACGUGGUAUCCUGUCUGAAUAUGGGGGGACCAUCCUCCAAGGCUAAAUACUCCUGACUGACCGAUAGUGAACCAGUACCGUGAGGGAAAGGCGAAAAGAACCCCGGCGAGGGGAGUGAAAAAGAACCUGAAACCGUGUACGUACAAGCAGUGGGAGCACGCUUCGGCGUGUGACUGCGUACCUUUUGUAUAAUGGGUCAGCGACUUAUAUUCUGUAGCAAGGUUAACCGAAUAGGGGAGCCGAAGGGAAACCGAGUCUUAACUGGGCGUUAAGUUGCAGGGUAUAGACCCGAAACCCGGUGAUCUAGCCAUGGGCAGGUUGAAGGUUGGGUAACACUAACUGGAGGACCGAACCGACUAAUGUUGAAAAAUUAGCGGAUGACUUGUGGCUGGGGGUGAAAGGCCAAUCAAACCGGGAGAUAGCUGGUUCUCCCCGAAAGCUAUUUAGGUAGCGCCUCGUGAAUUCAUCUCCGGGGGUAGAGCACUGUUUCGGCAAGGGGGUCAUCCCGACUUACCAACCCGAUGCAAACUGCGAAUACCGGAGAAUGUUAUCACGGGAGACACACGGCGGGUGCUAACGUCCGUCGUGAAGAGGGAAACAACCCAGACCGCCAGCUAAGGUCCCAAAGUCAUGGUUAAGUGGGAAACGAUGUGGGAAGGCCCAGACAGCCAGGAUGUUGGCUUAGAAGCAGCCAUCAUUUAAAGAAAGCGUAAUAGCUCACUGGUCGAGUCGGCCUGCGCGGAAGAUGUAACGGGGCUAAACCAUGCACCGAAGCUGCGGCAGCGACGCUGAUGCGUUGUUGGGUAGGGGAGCGUUCUGUAAGCCUGCGAAGGUGUGCUGUGAGGCAUGCUGGAGGUAUCAGAAGUGCGAAUGCUGACAUAAGUAACGAUAAAGCGGGUGAAAAGCCCGCUCGCCGGAAGACCAAGGGUUCCUGUCCAACGUUAAUCGGGGCAGGGUGAGUCGACCCCUAAGGCGAGGCCGAAAGGCGUAGUCGAUGGGAAACAGGUUAAUAUUCCUGUACUUGGUGUUACUGCGAAGGGGGGACGGAGAAGGCUAUGUUGGCCGGGCGACGGUUGUCCCGGUUUAAGCGUGUAGGCUGGUUUUCCAGGCAAAUCCGGAAAAUCAAGGCUGAGGCGUGAUGACGAGGCACUACGGUGCUGAAGCAACAAAUGCCCUGCUUCCAGGAAAAGCCUCUAAGCAUCAGGUAACAUCAAAUCGUACCCCAAACCGACACAGGUGGUCAGGUAGAGAAUACCAAGGCGCUUGAGAGAACUCGGGUGAAGGAACUAGGCAAAAUGGUGCCGUAACUUCGGGAGAA